rnacentral:rRNA from 1 species
UACGUAGGGGGCAAGCGUUGUCCGGAUUUAUUGGGCGUAAAGAGCGUGUAGGCGGCUAUGCAGGUCCGCUGUGAAAACUCGAGGCUCAACCUCGAGACGUCGGUGGAAACCGCAUGGCUAGAGUCCGGAAGAGGAGAGUGGAAUUCCCGGUGUAGCGGUGAAAUGCGCAGAUAUCGGGAAGAACACCCGUGGCGAAAGCGGCUCUCUGGAACGGUACUGACGCUGAGACGCGAAAGCGUGGGGAGCGAACAGG